UGUAUGUGGUGUUGAGGAUCGAACCCGGGCUGCACGCAUGCCAGGCAAGCACGCUACUGCUUGAGCCACAUCCCCAGCCCCCCAUUCUAUUUUUAACAUACAAGUUUGGUUAUUGUUCUUUAAAAGACUACUAAGAAAGAGUAACAUAAAAUAUCAAUUAUAAAUUGCUAGAACUCAACAACUAGAUUUGGGUCUGGGGGUUAUUAAGCCUCUGUUCUCAACUGGGAGAGCAUGUUAACCCUGCAUGGCUGCUGGGUGUGUUGGUGCAUGUCUGCAAUCCCAGCUACUCCCACUUACCUGGGAAGCUGAGGCAGGAAGAUUGUAAGUUCUAGGCCAGACUGGGCAAUUUAGUAACACCCUGUCUCAAAAAAAUGGGCUGGGGAUGUAGCUCAGUGGCAGAGCACCCCUGGGUUCAAUCUCUAGUACUGCAAAAACAAAACAAAAUACUCUGCAUGGCUAAGGGGUCUAUCUAUGCUUAAGAUUUUCAUGGUCUGGCCUCCUAGAGAAUGGUAACAGGCUCUCUCAUUCAAGAGUCAGCCUUGGAUACAGAGGGCAGGGAAAUCGGAGCCAAGGAGAUUCUCUGUAUGAUCUCUAGCUAACCAAUAAGUCCUAGGAGAUUAGAACACUUGAUGUGUUCCCUUCUGAUUAUUUUCUGGUGAGCCUUACUCUUUAAGGGCUUAAACCAUGUCUGACCUCAUCCAGUUAGAGGCUCAAGGGCAGACAAUAUCCUAUCAGACCAGGAUUUCUCAGGGUGGAAUUGAUGGUAGUUUCUACUUCUUUCUAUACAACUGUGGUGUGCUCAACAAGAUUGUUUCCUUAGCAGAGCCUGGGUGAGGCAGCAUGGAGAGCAGCCUUUGGAGAAGGCUGGGCCCAGGUUUGAAUCCUCACUCUGCCACUGUUUACCAUCCCAGUAACCUUAAGUGAGGUCACAGCAAGAAAGCGCCAUCUAUGAAGCAGAACCCUCACCAGACACUAAGUCUGCUGAUGCCUUGAUCCUGAACUUCCCUACACAACUGUGAAAAAUAAAUUUCUAUUGUUUAUAA